rnacentral:rRNA from 1 species
CAAUAGCGUAUAUUAUUGAUGUUGCAGUUGAAACGUUCGUAGUCGAACUUUAUUUGCUUCAGCGUUGCUAAAUCUAUGAUUUUCCAAUGCUUCAGAGCAAAGAUAAUGCAAAGAUGUUUUCCAUAUGUUCCAUAUGGAAAUAUGUUUUUGCAUCUUACUUUGAGUGAAUCGGCGUGUUCCACGCAGGCUUUCGCCUUGAACGAUUUACCAUAGUAUAAAUAUAGUAUGAAAAUACUCCUUUGUUCGCACGGGAAUUUUCGAUACUGAAAAGAACGGUCGAGGGCAUUCGUAUUCAACUGAUAGAGGUGAAAUUCUUUGACCAGUUGAGGACGAACUAUUGCGAAAGCAUCUGCCAAGGACGUUUCUUUUGA